AGAGUUUGAUUCUGGCUCAGGACGAACGCUGGCGGCGUGCCUAACACAUGCAAGUCGAACGGGCCUGGGGGCAACUCCAGGUCAGUGGCGGACGGGUGCGUAACACGUGAGCAACAUGUCCGAUGGUGGGGGAUAGCCGGCCCAACGGCCGGGUAAUACCGCAUGCGGUCAUCGGGGGCAUCCCUGGUGACGAAAGUGGGGGCAACCUCACGCCGACGGAGUGGCUCGCGGCCUAUCAGCUAGUUGGUGGGGUCACGGCUCACCAAGGCUACGACGGGUAGCUGGUCUGAGAGGAUGACCAGCCACAUUGGGACUGAGACACGGCCCAGACUCCUACGGGAGGCAGCAGUGAGGAAUAUUGCGCAAUGGGCGAAUGCCUGACGCAGCGACGCCGCGUGUGGGAUGACGGCCUUCGGGUUGUAAACCACUGUCGGAGGGGACGAAGGCCCGGCGGCGAAUAGUCGACCGGGAUUGACGGUACCCUCAAAGGAAGCACCGGCUAACUCCGUGCCAGCAGCCGCGGUAAUACGGAGGGUGCGAGCGUUGUCCGGAAUCACUGGGCGUAAAGGGUGCGUAGGCGGCUGGGUAAGUCACGUGUGNNNGGCCGGGGCUCAACCCCGGAUCUGCAUGUGAGACUGCCUGGCUCGAGC
rnacentral:rRNA from 1 species